CUCGGAGCACCGCGAGAGGAAAAGAGCGACGCUGGGAGUGGGCGGAAUAGUGUAGCCGGCGUCACCGUUUUACAGGAGUCUUUCUUGUAUUUAAUAAACAUGUCAACUUUCAAGAUUAAUCAUGAAAAUUUUAGUUUAGAAGAGGCCCUUUGUUUGGAAUACGUUUGCCCCAGAUAUCUUCAUGGCUUGCUCCUGUCAAAAUGGCACAGCCUCUCCUACCAUCAGCAUCCUGCACCAGGGUGGUACCUUUGUUAUAAUCAGUCAGCCAAAAUUGACAUAUCAUUAUCACCCCAAGUUCAUAGUCUGCAUUAGGGUUCACUCUUGGUGUUGUACAUCCUAUGGGUUUUGACAAAUAUAUGGCAUAUAUCAACUAUUUGAGUAUUGUACAAAAUAGUUUUACUGCCCCCAGAAUCCCGUGUUCUGCCUAUUCAUUGCUCCCUGCCCCUAAACCCCUGGCAACCACUGAUCUUUUUACUGUUUCUGUAGUUUUGCUUUUUACAGAAUUUCAUAUAGUUGGA